AUCAAACUCAGAUUGGUUCGUACAUACCAAGUAGCAGAAAGGAGGGGCAGUGAGUCUAUCAAAUCAAAAGAGUGCAUAUUUCACGAGUUAAGCUGGUGAGGUCAAGAUAUGCUCAUCUUAUGAUGCCACACAUCCGUUGAAUCAAAAUAUACCAGAAAUUGAGAAUUUCAAGAAAAGGAAACAGAGGAGUGAAGAAUGCAGAACAACCGAUAUUUGAGAGUGCAAAGAAGAUUAACAAAAGAGGGUACUAAGAGGUUACUUCCUCCUUGGAGAAGCAUAUAAAUUUUGUUAUCAAUGUGAAGGUGUGGUUUUCAGGUAUUGACAUGGGGGAUUUCCAAUGAGGAGUCCAUGCAAUAUCAUUUUGCUUCUAUUCAAACUUAUAAUCAGUAGUUUCUCUCCUAACAGUAAGAUUGGAGAAGGUGGAUAUGGUGCUGUAUACAAGGGAAUGCUUCCAAGUGGACAAGAAAUAGCAUAGAAAGGCUAUCCAGGAGUUCAGGACAAGGAGAAAAAGAAUUCAAGAACGUUGAAGUAGAAGCAUUUCAUAUUUCAUAUUUAAGGGUCAAAUUCAUAAGACUUUUUGCUCAUAUUUAAAAAAAUAUUUAAGUAAAUAAAAAAAAGGUUUUUCUUUAUGGAUCAGAGUAAUAGAAUUACUGGAUUCUACUAAUUUAGAGCCAAAAAAAAAUAGAGAUAAAUAAUCGUAUGCAUCAUACUAAUAUGUCAAAAUAGCAGAUUAAUUGAGCAAUACAAAGACUAAUUUCCUUAGCAUGUACAGACGAAGAAAUCAAUUUUUAGGCAGAUUAGCCUAGAUUUGAGCUAUGAAUGUACUUAUCUUUAGGAAAAUUUCCUUAACCCUUUUUUAGAGAAGGGUUUAGACUUCUUAAUCUUUCUGCAUGUAUAGGUCCAAGUGUUUCCAGAGCUCAUAUCUUCCUAUAUUGACUUUCGGAUGUAGCAAGGUUAGGGUUUUGAUGUAACGAACAACAUUAUAUGUUUGUUAGUCGAAAGUGAAGAAAUCAUACUUGUGUA